CAGACGGGAUAUAGUCGCCUAAAGAUUCAUGAUGAUAUGAAUUUCUUUGGGAGGAAAGUCCGGGCUCCUCCGGAAAAAAUGCCGACUAAUGAUCGGGCGUUCCUGUAUUGGAGCGACAGAAAGUGCAACAGAAAAUAAACCGCCUGUUUUUCAGGUAAGGGUGAAAUGGCAGUGUAAGAGACUACCGUUCGGAUGGUAACAUUCGUAGCAGUGCAAACCUCAUUUGGAGCAAAAUUAAGCAGAGACAUGUGAGUUUCCGGCUCUGUAUGUUUCGGGUAAAUUGCUGUAGACUGUUUGGCAACAGGCAGUUUAGAUAGAUGGCUAUGUCGUUUUUGCGAUGACAGAACCCGGCUUAUUGUCCCGUCUGUUUU
rnacentral:RNase_P_RNA from 2 species